CGUCGCGGUGACGUCACGGGAGCGCCCUGUUCUCGGGGCGGAAUGGAACCUGUUGACGGUACUGAAUGUUGUUUCCCUGAAGCCUGUAAUCACCAGCUAGAUCAAAACAGCGCGCUUUAUCUCAUUCUUCAUACACAGAUUAUUGAUCCAUUCUUCUCUAUCAUCUAAUCUGCUGUUGAUUAGUAACAAUAGAGAGGAAUAGUGAAACAUGUUUGUGAACUUAUGUCAACAGGAAAACAUUAAGGAGCUGUGGUGCAUUGCAUGAGCCAAAGAGACCUGCCCAUGAGAGUACACUGUCACACAGAAGGUCUACGAGAGCAUCUUAUGACCUAGAAAGAAAGCCACUGCUAGGGCGACUUCACUCUGCUGCUGAAACUCCAGUGAUAUGAAGACCCAUUAAAUAGAAAGGCAAGAAGAAAAGCUCAGUUUGAUAUAGCAAGGGAAUCCAGAAAUUAUCAUCAGAGUGAGAAAAGCACUGCAUGCCACUUCCUAGCUCCUUAAGGACUUCGCUGAGCUUCAAGUCCUGAAGAAUUUCAUAAAUUGGAAAUAAAAAUGAACUUUUAUUUCUUGUGCACUUGGAGUUCUGGGUGGGAGCUAACUAUAGAAUUUCUUCAUCUUUCCCUAUCUUAAACUAAAAUGUAGCUUUUCUUAAGGGUAGGUAGAGAUGGAAAUACAUAAAGGAACAACUGAAAAAAAUUCCUAACAUCUACACAAAAAAUCAUUAACAUAGUGAGAUAAUGUCUCCCAGAAAAAUCUUUGGUUAAUUAAUGAUUAGCUUAAGAAAGAAAACUAAGAAUGUCAGGUUAUUUGUUAGCCAAAGACAAAUAAAUCAUGGACACUAUAAAACACAAUGUAAUAGAAUUCAACAAGUGACCUACUUUAAAAAGCUCACAAAAACCACCUCUGUAUGAGGUCAAAGAGAAGUACUAUUUCAGCAAUACAGACUCAUUCUGGGUUAAAGAAUGACAGUAAAAUAACUACAUGUGUGAGACUGCAAAAUAUUUACUCUAGAAGAUUCCUUGGUAUGCACAAGUCUCAUUAAAGAUAAUAAAAUUGAAAAUCCUAAUGUCUUUAUAUUAUAAACAGUACACUUCUCCAGAGGAAAAAACAUAUGAUAGGUAGUUUUCCUGACGGAUGAGGAAUCCACAUAACCUAAAUGUGGCUGAAAGUUUCAGUGCUUUGUUUUCCCCAUCUUUAAAAUCAGUUUGUCCAUCUAUGACAUCUGAUUCUAGAACUCUGAUUUUAACAGGGUUUCAGAAAUUUAUUAUUUAAAAAUAUUUCAACAGAAGAAAUGUGAAAGACACACAUUUUCUUUGUAUCUCCUCAGUUCCCUAGUUUAAAGUUUUGUGGAGAUAGCAUUGGGGCUGCAAGCACAGAACAGGAGUGUAUUUUGUA